UACGGAGGGGGCUAGCGUUGUUCGGAAUUACUGGGCGUAAAGCGUGCGCAGGCGGUUUUGUAAGCCAGAUGUGAAAUCCCCGGGCUUAACCUGGGAAUGGCAUUUGGGACUGCAAGGCUUGAGUGCGGCAGAGGAGACUGGAAUUCCUGGUGUAGCAGUGAAAUGCGUAGAUAUCAGGAGGAACACCGAUGGCGAAGGCAGGUCUCUGGGCUGACACUGACGCUCAUGCACGAAAGCGUGGGGAGCAAACAGG
rnacentral:rRNA from 1 species